AGCGGAGCGUGUGGUUUAUUCGAUGACAACACGAAGUAACCUUACCGAGGGUUUGACAUGCAUGAAGUAGGGACCCGAAAGGGCGACAAACUGUUAAGUCAGUAGCUUGCACAGGUGCUGCAUGGCUGUCGUCAGCUCGUGUCGUGAGAUGUUCGGUUAAGUCCGCUAACGAGCGCAACCCUCGUCGUAUGUUAUAUGUGUCAUACGAGACUGCCGGUAAAAAGCCGGAGGAAGGUGAGGAUGAUGUCAAGUCAGCAUGACCUUUAUAUCCAGGGCUACACACACGCUACAAUGGUCUGUACAAUGGGUAGCCAAGCCGCGAGGCGGAGCCAAUCCUGAAAGCAGGCCUCAGUUCAGAUUGCAGUCUGCAACUCGACUGCAUGAAGCCGGAGUUGCUGGUAACCGCAGGUCAGCAAUACUGCGGUGAAUACGUUCCCGGGUCUU
rnacentral:rRNA from 1 species